UCCGAGUUGUCCCCGGCAGUCUCUUAUGAGUCCCCAACUAAAUGCUGGCAACAUGCGACGGGGGUUGCGCUCGUUGCGGGACUUAACCCAACAUCUCACGACACGAGCUGACGACAGCCAUGCACCACCUGUGAUCCUGCCCCGAAGGGAAGCGCUGUUUCCAGAGCGGUCAGGAACAUGUCAAGCCCAGGUAAGGUUCUUCGCGUUGCGUCGAAUUAAACCACAUGCUCCGCUGCUUGUGCGGGUCCCCGUCAAUUCCUUUGAGUUUUAGCCUUGCGGCCGUACUUCCCAGGCGGAAUACUUAAUGCGUUAGCUGCGGCACCGGCGGUAACCCGCCGACACUUAGUAUUCAUAGUUUAAGGCGUGGACUAC
rnacentral:misc_RNA from 1 species